UUACAACCAUAUCAGCUUUGAAACACCAGUUAUCGUGCGAUCAUUGAAGUUAAGCAACGUCGAGCCUAGUCAGUACCUAGAUGGGUGACCGCUUGGUAAUAUCAGGUGCUGUAAG